CUUCAAUAUAUCAGACGCAUUGUUCAGCUCCAGAACUUCUGCUUGAUUCUAUAUAAUUAUUUCAAUCCCUUUGUUAAAUCUAUCUGAUAGAAUUCUAAGUUCCUUCUCUGUGUUAGCUUGAAUUUCUUUGAGUUUCUUAUUUUGAAUUGUCUUUUGGAAAGGUCAGAUAUCUGUAUUUCUUCAGGAUUGGUCCCUGGUGUCUUAUUUAGCUAAUUUGCACAGGUAGAGGAGACUUGCCUGGUGGCUGCCAUCACCACAGGCGCAUGGGAGUACCUCCAGGCUACUACUGAUACUCUCUUAAGGCCAAAUGGCUCUUCAGUCAGCUUGUGCGUUCUGGCCAUUGAUAAUCUCUGAGUUAUCAAUGACUCUUACAGGUGCGUGCGAUUGCUGUUCACCAUUCAGAUUGAUUUGAGGGCUUCCCAGUGUAAUGACUGGGAAAGAAUACGGUUAGAAGAUUUGGUAAAGACUCAGGAGAAGAGCCUCUGGGAUAAAAAAUAAUUGAAGUUUUAAAAGUACUGAUGCAAAGAAGG
rnacentral:lncRNA from 1 species